UACGAGGGGGGCAAGCGUUGUUCGGAAUUAUUGGGCGUAAAGGGAGUGUAGGCGGUUUGGUAAGUCGUGUGUGAAAUCUUCGGGCUCAACCCGAAGUCUGCACUCGAAACUGCCGGGCUUGAGUAUGGGAGAGGUGAGUGGAAUUCCUGGUGUAGCGGUGAAAUGCGUAGAUAUCAGGAGGAACACCUGUGGCGAAAGCGGCUCACUGGACCAUUACUGACGCUGAGACUCGAAAGCUAGGGGAGCAAACAGG
rnacentral:rRNA from 1 species